AUGAACGCUGGCGGCGCGCCUAACACAUGCAAGUCGAACGGCACCCCUCUCCGGAGGGAAGCGAGUGGCGAACGGCUGAGUAACACGUGGAGAACCUGCCCCCUCCCCCGGGAUAGCCGCCCGAAAGGACGGGUAAUACCGGAUACCCCCGGGCGCCGCAUGGCGCCCGGGCUAAAGCCCCGACGGGAGGGGAUGGCUCCGCGGCCCAUCAGGUAGACGGCGGGGUGACGGCCCACCGUGCCGACAACGGGUAGCCGGGUUGAGAGACCGACCGGCCAGAUUGGGACUGAGACACGGCCCAGACUCCUACGGGAGGCAGCAGUGGGGAAUCUUGCGCAAUGGGGGGAACCCUGACGCAGCGACGCCGCGUGCGGGACGGAGGCCUUCGGGUCGUAAACCGCUUUCAGCAGGGAAGAGUCAAGACUGUACCUGCAGAAGAAGCCCCGGCUAACUACGUGCCAGCAGCCGCGGUAAUACGUAGGGGGCGAGCGUUAUCCGGAUUCAUUGGGCGUAAAGCGCGCGUAGGCGGCCCGGCAGGCCGGGGGUCGAAGCGGGGGGCUCAACCCCCCGAAGCCCCCGGAACCUCCGCGGCUUGGGUCCGGUAGGGGAGGGUGGAACACCCGGUGUAGCGGUGGAAUGCGCAGAUAUCGGGUGGAACACCGGUGGCGAAGGCGGCCCUCUGGGCCGAGACCGACGCUGAGGCGCGAAAGCUGGGGGAGCGAACAGGAUUAGAUACCCUGGUAGUCCCAGCCGUAAACGAUGGACGCUAGGUGUGGGGGGACGAUCCCCCCGUGCCGCAGCCAACGCAUUAAGCGUCCCGCCUGGGGAGUACGGCCGCAAGGUUAAAACUCAAAUGAAUUGACGGGGGCCCGCACAAGCGGUGGAGCAUGUGGUUUAAUUCGAUGCAACGCGAAGAACCUUACCAAGUCUUGACAUCCUGCGACGGUGCUGGAAACAGUACUUUCCUUCGGGACGCAGAGACAGGUGGUGCAUGGUUGUCGUCAGCUCGUGUCGUGAGAUGUUGGGUUAAGUCCCGCAACGAGCGCAACCCCCGCCGCGUGUUGCCAUCGGGUGAUGCCGGGAACCCACGCGGGACCGCCGCCGUCAAGGCGGAGGAGGGCGGGGACGACGUCAAGUCAUCAUGCCCCUUAUGCCCUGGGCUGCACACGUGCUACAAUGGCCGGUACAGAGGGAUGCCACCCCGCGAGGGGGAGCGGAUCCCGGAAAGCCGGCCCCAGUUCGGAUUGGGGGCUGCAACCCGCCCCCAUGAAGUCGGAGUUGCUAGUAAUCGCGGAUCAGCAUGCCGCGGUGAAUGCGUUCCCGGGCCUUGUACACACCGCCCGUCACACCACCCGAGUCGUCUGCACCCGAAGUCGCCGGCCCAACCGCAAGGGGGGAGGCGCCGAAGGUGUGGAGGGUGAGGGGGGUG
rnacentral:rRNA from 1 species